ACAGACCUCGAUCCAGUGGGUUCCCCAGAGUGUUUUCCAGGACAUGCUAGUUCCAAAAGAUACUCCUUAAAAAAGAGUUCGAUAGUCAAAACGUUGCUUCCAGAAGAAGACUGUCUCAUUACUGUUACAUCUCUGGCCCUGGAGUAGCCCCUGGCAAAUAUGUACUCAGUACAUGUUUGCGAGACGCAUGGACUUGUAGAACAGUUCCACAGCUGUCCAUCACUGAUGUUCCAUACCUAGCGAUGCGGCCCCUCGAAACGCACUGGAGAGCUGGGCAGACCAAGGAUAAUUUCAC
rnacentral:lncRNA from 1 species